UGAGGAAUAUUGGUCAAUGGGCAAAAGCCUGAACCAGCCAAGUCGCGUGAGGGAAGACGGUCCUAUGGAUUGUAAACCUCUUUUGUCGGGGAGCAACGACGCCACGUGUGGCGGAAGGGAGAGUACCCGAAGAAAAAGCAUCGGCUAACUCCGUGCCAGCAGCCGCGGUAAUACGGAGGAUGCGAGCGUUAUCCGGAUUUAUUGGGUUUAAAGGGUGCGUAGGCGGAACGUUAAGUCAGCGGUAAAAUUGCGGGGCUCAACCCUGUACCGCCGUUGAAACUGGCGUUCUAGAGUGGGCGAGAAGUAUGCGGAAUGCGAGGUGUAGCGGUGAAAUGCAUAGAUAUCACGAAGAACUCCUAUUGCGAAGGCAGCUCACUAAACUGCAACUGACAUUGAGGCUCGAAAGUGUGGGUAUCAAACAGGAUUAGAUACCC
rnacentral:rRNA from 1 species